CAAGUAUUCGGUUCCGAUUCUUCUCUCUAUUUAUUCUCAUCAGCCGUUCCCUUGCCCGUCCCUUAUCGUCUCCUCCGUCUGAGGAAGCGCCCUUCGGUCGAUUCCUUCACCUCCGACUGGAUAUGAUGGCAGCAAUAUCAGGGAGUUGUACUCAAAAUGUAUUUCUGGCACAGCAUUGUCAAUGGAGUAGGCAAUCACUCCCCAGAUUUCCCAGUGAUUCUUGUGCUCUUAGUAUCCACAGCACACAUCCCUUGCAGGGGUGGAUGUUAGCAUGGCCUGACAAAUCAUUCGUCCAGUCGCAGACCUUAGCACCACACAAGAUUGAUCUUGGGAACCGAGCAAGUAUCUAUUGCAAUGCUGCUCAAUUUAGAAGUGCCAUUUCAUCCUCUGAAAAAGUUGACUUUCUCAAGCUUCAAAAUGGAAGUGAUAUUCGAGGUGUUGCUGUUGCUGGUGUUGUCAGGGAACCUGUCAAUCUUACUGAACCUGCUACGGAAGCUAUAGCUGCUGCUUUUGCUGAAUGGUUAUUGGAAAAAAAGAAACCAGCUGAAUCAAGACGUCUAAGAGUCUCCAUUGGACAUGAUUCACGGAUAUCUGCUCAGAAAUUACAGUUUCGCGUGGAAUUGCUAGUGCUGGAGUUGAGGUUAUUCAGUAUGGGUUUCUCGAAACAUGUAAGAGAGAAUAAGGAUGAGGCACAGGCUAUGCUGAUAUGUGUCAAUUCUGUAUGCAGAUUGGCAUCUACACCGGCAAUGUUCAAUAGCACACUUACAGAAGAUGAGAAUUUCCUUUGUCCAGUUGAUGGAUCCAUAAUGAUAACAGCCAGCCAUCUUCCCUAUAAUCGCAAUGGCUUUAAGUUUUUCACUAAUACUGGUGGACUUGGAAAAGCUGACAUCAAAGACAUCUUGGAGCAUGCUGCAAAUAUAUAUGAGAAGUUCACAGAUGAAAGUCUGAAGAAAUCAGAACAAGCUGCAAAUGCAGCUGUUAGAAAGGUGGAUUAUAUGGCAGUUUACACUUCUGAUCUUGUAGCUGCAGUUCGUAAAGCUGCAGGGAACAUAGAGAAGCCACUGGAGGGAUUUCAUGUAAUUGUGGAUGCAGGGAAUGGAGCAGGUGGAUUUUUUGCGGGAAAGGUGCUUGAACCUUUGGGUGCAAUUACUAUUGGCAGUCAGUUUUUGGAGCCAGAUGGUAUGUUUCCAAACCAUAUUCCCAACCCUGAGGAUAAAGCUGCAAUGAAAGCAAUAACCCAGGCUGUCCUGCAGAAUAAGGCAGAUUUAGGUAUCAUAUUUGAUACGGAUGUUGACAGAUCUGCUGCAGUAGAUUCCACUGGCCAUGAGAUCAACCGUAAUCGAUUGAUUGCUUUAAUGUCGGCUUUGGUACUUGAGGAACAUCCAGGAACUACUAUUGUUACUGAUUGCGUAACUUCGGAUGGCUUGACUGCAUUUAUUGAAAAGAAACUUGGAGGAAAGCAUCACCGGUUCAAAAGAGGUUACAAAAAUGUCAUUGAUGAAGCAGUUCGCUUGAAUUCUAUUGGUGAAGAGUCACAUUUGGCAAUUGAAACUAGUGGCCAUGGAGCUUUGAAGGAGAAUCACUGGCUUGAUGAUGGAGCAUACCUCAUGGUCAAACUCUUAAACAAACUUGCCUCUGCCAGAGCUUCUGGUUCGGAUAGUGGUAGCAAAGUUCUGACCAACCUGAUAGAGGGCCUGGAGGAAGCUGCUGUGGCAGUGGAACUAAGAUUGAAGAUUGAUCAGAACCAUGCAGACCUGAAAGGAGGGUACGUCAGACAGUAAUUCCUGAUGCAUCUUUCUUCCACCUUUCUUUGAUAGGAAAUGGUUGAAACCUCAUACUCUGGAAGCCCCUUUUUCCAUUGGACCCAAAGAUUCUUACUACUGCUUUUGAUCUUUCCGUGAUUAUGGAGAGGCAGUGCUAAAACAUUUGGAGAACACAACUAGCUCAGAUCCAAAGCUGCAAAAAGCACCCAUCAACUAUGAAGGCGUUAGGGUCUCAGGCCAUGGUGGCUGGUUCCUGCUGAGGCUUUCGCUUCAUGAUCCAGUUUUGCCCCUGAACAUUGAGGCUCCAAGCAAUGAGGAUGCUGUGAAGCUGGGGCUUGCUGUGCUGGCUGCCGUUAAAGAGUUUGCAGCUCUGGAGAUAUCGGCACUGGACAAGUUUGUGCAUCAAUAAAACUCACUUGAAGGAAGCCAUUUUGUCUCUGCACCCUGAUAUGGCAAGCUGUGAGAAUUCGUCUCCCUUUACUCUUGUGAGAAGGCUCAAUAACAUGUGCUUGGUACAUGAUAGCUUUUCGCAGAAACAGGAUAACUUUUUUUUUUUCAUAAAGAAACAAGAUAACUUCCAGAUGUGAAUGAAGCCUUGUUACCUGAUUUUCUUUGUUACAUAUAUGUGAUAAAAGCUGGGUUGAACCUUAGUGCAAGAGAUACAAAAUCCGUGUGUUUAACUUUUGA